CACGUGCAACAAUAACAAAAAUAUGGAAGUGCUGCAAAAAUGGCUAAAAUUUUGCAUUAUUUUGCCUUAUGAAAGCUAAAUAUUAGCUGAAAACUGUAUCUAAAUGAUUGAGGGCUGUUCUGAAAUCGAAAACAGAAAUCAUGUUCAGAACUUGAACAAGAUAAACAACUUUGCCAUGCAGCACAACCAUCAAGGCCAGAUGUCUAACAUAGGUUAUGAGAUAACCACUGUAAUUGCAGGUUUAAUGGCUGUAACGACCUGUGACUGAAAGGUAGUCCUGUGUGACUACAGAUAGUCAGCCAAAGGACUUGCCCAAGUGGCAAAUAGCUUGACAGAAACAAAAACUGAUGCUAUCAGUAACAGUCAAGCAUCCAAAGGCCUUCAUAAUGUGACAGAACUAUAAAUAAAGUCUGUCACAGAAAUCCAGGAGAUACCAAGAGAACAUGAAGACCUAGAUUUUAGAAAAUUAUUUUUUGAGGGGCUGGGGGACUGUUUCAUAGGACUUUGAGACAAAAAUAGGAUAAGGUUUCAUAAAGAGUUGAGGAUACUAGGAUUAGUUGUCCUUUCAAUGCUUCAGCAUUUUCACUGGAUGCAGUAUGGUCUUCUAGGCCUGUAUGCAAACCAUUCUAGAAUUUAUUAAACUUUUUAAUUAAAAGUUUUUAAUAUCAAGAUUUCAAGUUCAAGAGUAAGAAAUUUCUUGUACAAAGAAGGUUUUUUCAUAGAUGCCGGUCCUCCAGCCCCUAGCAAUAGAUACAGGAGAGUGUCCUGAUAUAGGUUAGGUUUAAGCUUUUUAUUUCAAUGAUUUUGUGGCUUCAAUGAAGCCUGGUGUUUUCAUUUCAUAGACCUCGGGGUUUAGAUUUGCAGAGAAUUUGAACUCAACACUGGGACACUCUCCUGUAUCUAUUGCUUUUGAUUUUUUGAAAAGAAAUAAACUUCAUGCCUCCCACGAGGCCCUGCCAGCACCAAAAGAGAAGCCACCCCUGCAGGCCAAAUCUUUUUGGUAGUCUCGCUGCCCUGACUAGAGCCAAUCGGUUAUAAGGCCAAGACCAGC